rnacentral:tRNA from 1 species
GCCUGGGUGGCUCAGUCGGUUGAGCGUCUGACUUCGGCUCAGGUCGUGAUCUCACGGUUCGUGGGUUCGAGCCCCGUGUCGGGCU